CAUCUACCUGUCACAAUCAGGCAAAGCAUCAUGAAGAGGCUCUUGGGAUCUCUGCUCUGGCUUUUGUGCACUCAGGUUUGCUGUGUGACAGGGGUGCAGGUGGAGCAGAGUCCUCCAGCCCUCAUCCUCCAGGAGGGAGCCAGUUCCACGUUGUGGUGCAAUUUUUCUUCCACUGCGCAAAACAUUCAGUGGUUUCGCCAAGAUCCCGGGAGACGCCUCGUCAACCUGUUCUACAUUCCUUCAGGGACAAAGCAGAAUGGAAGAUUAGAGGCCACGACAGUCCCUAAGGAACGCCACAGCUCAUUGCACAUCUCCUCUUCGCAGCCCACAGACUCAGCCACUUAUUUCUGUGCCAUGGCCCACAGUGCUCCCCAGGCACCUGCAGCUGCUACACAAACCCUCAGCUGGACUAGCCCCGUGCCAGCCACAAGCACAGCUGUAGCAUUUCUAACCUACGUGGAUAAAGCUUCAAGCGCACAUACUUUUGGGCCCUAUAGGUUAGAGACUAUGGGUUUUAUCUUCCCUUCUCAAAUUAUAAAUCCCACAUUGCAGAAAUCUAAUUUAGAAGGGUAGUUUCUGACAAGAGGGCUGAAUCAGACUACACUGUGCAGGCUUUCCAAAAAAGUAAAAAUCAAAACUAAUAAUAAUUUUUAAAAAACAUGCCAUUUGGAUAAAGUAGUUACUGGCAGUGAUGCAGAUUAGCUGGGUGUCUCAAGCACAUUUGGGUCUGCAUCCCCACGGCACAUGUCCCUGUGUGGAAGGGCAAAGUAUUUGCAGCUUAUCCAUCCAGGGCAACAGAGAAAAGGAAAAGCGCACUGGAUGCUCAUAGAUGAUGAAGAGAUGUGGUGGGAAAUGUUAAAGGGUAUGUUCCAUCCAGCU